CAGCAGGUCUACAAACACUCGAUCAAACGUCCAGUCGUGUCCAGCAGAGAGACGAGGACUCUUUGGUUUAUGCCGUGCCGACCAUCGUCACCAGGAAAGCCGGCAAAGCGAGGCAGAAAAAUACGAGGGCAGCACAAGAAUUCAGCACGUACGCCGACGUCUAUCUUUGUGACUCAGUUCUCACGAUGCAAAAUUAAAAAGUGAUCUGACACAGCAAA